rfam:Bordetella genomosp. 13 strain AT7206, complete genome.
UGCUCUUUUCGCGCCGGCGAAACUCGACCGCAAGUUGAAGUGGUGAACACCUAUAUCGACCGGCACCGGAAGGUUCACGGGGUCGAGCCGAUCUCCAAAGUGUUGCAGACCGCCCCG